rnacentral:rRNA from 1 species
GCAUAUCAAUAAGCGGAGGAAAAGAAACCAACAGGGAUUGCCCUAGUAACGGCGAGUGAAGCGGCAACAGCUCAAAUUUGAAAUCUGGCGUCUUUGGCGUCCGAGUUGUAAUUUGCAGAGGGCGCUUUGGCAUUGGCAGCGGUCCAAGUUCCUUGGAACAGGACGUCACAGAGGGUGAGAAUCCCGUACGUGGUCGCUAGCCUUUACCGUGUAAAGCCCCUUCGACGAGUCGAGUUGUUUGGGAAUGCAGCUCUAAAUGGGAGGUAAAUUUCUUCUAAAGCUAAAUACUGGCCAGAGACCGAUAGCGCACAAGUAGAGUGAUCGAAAGAUGAAAAGCACUUUGGAAAGAGAGUUAAAAAGCACGUGAAAUUGUUGAAAGGGAAGCGCUUGCAGCCAGACUUGCCUGUAGUUGCUCAUCCGGGUUUUUACCCGGUGCACUCUUCUACGGGCAGGCCAGCAUCAGUUUGGGCGGUUGGAUAAAGGUCUCUGUCAUGUACCUCCUUUCGGGGAGAUCUUAUAGGGGAGACGACAUGCAACCAGCCUGGACUGAGGUCCGCGCAUCUGCUAGGAUGCUGGCGUAAUGGCUGUAAGCGGCCCGUCUUGAAACACGGACCAAGGAGUCUAACAUCUAUGCGAGUGUUUGGGUGUCAAGCCCGAGCGCGUAAUGAAAGUGAACGGAGGUGGGAACCUUUCGGGGUGCACCAUCGACCGAUCCUGAUGUCUUCGGAUGGAUUUGAGUAAGAGCAUAGCUGUUGGGACCCGAAAGAUGGUGAACUAUGCUUGAAUAGGGUGAAGCCAGAGGAAACUCUGGUGGAGGCUCGCAGCGGUUCUGACGUGCAAAUCGAUCGUCAAAUUUGGGCAUAGGGGCGAAAGACUAAUCGAACUAUCUAGUAGCUGGUUCCUGCCGA